GCCUUCUUAGCUCAGUGGUUAGAGAACUGGUCUUGUAAACCAGGGUCAUUAGUUCGAAUCUCAUAGGGGGUU
rnacentral:tRNA from 1 species